UGGGGAAUUUUGGACAAUGGGCGCAAGCCCGAUCCAGCCAUGCCGCGUGCGGGAAGAAGGCCUUCGGGUUGUAAACCGCUUUUGUCAGGGAAGAAAUCUUCUGAGUUAAUACCUCGGGAGGAUGACGGUACCUGAAGAAUAAGCACCGGCUAACUACGUGCCAGCAGCCGCGGUAAUACGUAGGGUGCAAGCGUUAAUCGGAAUUACUGGGCGUAAAGCGUGCGCAGGCGGUUUUGUAAGACAGAGGUGAAAUCCCCGGGCUCAACCUGGGAACUGCCUUUGUGACUGCAAGGCUUGAGUGCGGCAGAGGGGGAUGGAAUUCCGCGUGUAGCAGUGAAAUGCGUAGAUAUGCGGAGGAACACCGAUGGCGAAGGCAAUCCCCUGGGCCUGCACUGACGCUCAUGCACGAAAGCGUGGGGAGCAAACAGGAUUAGAUACCCUGGUAGUCCACGCCCUAAACGAUGUCAACUGGUUGUUGGGAAGGUUCCUUCUCAGUAACGUAGCUAACGCGUGAAAGUUGACCGCCUGGGGUGUACGGCCGCAAGGUUGAAACUUAAAGGAAUUGAC
rnacentral:rRNA from 1 species